CCUACGGGAGGCUGCAGUGGGGAAUAUUGGACAAUGGGCGAAAGCCUGAUCCAGCCAUGCCGCGUGUGUGAAGAAGGCCUUCGGGUUGUAAAGCACUUUCAGUGGGGAAGAAAGCCUUGGGGCUAAUACCCUCGAGGAAGGACAUCACCCACAGAAGAAGUACCGGCUAACUCCGUGCCAGCAGCCGCGGUAAUACGGAGGGUGCGAGCGUUAAUCGGAAUUACUGGGCGUAAAGCGCGCGUAGGCGGUCUGAUAAGCCGGUUGUGAAAGCCCCGGGCUCAACCUGGGAACGGCAUCCGGAACUGUCAGGCUAGAGUGCAGGAGAGGAAGGUAGAAUUCCCGGUGUAGCGGUGAAAUGCGUAGAGAUCGGGAGGAAUACCAGUGGCGAAGGCGGCCUUCUGGACUGACACUGACGCUGAGGUGCGAAAGCGUGGGUAGCAAACAGGAUUAGAUACCCGUGUAGUC
rnacentral:rRNA from 1 species